GGGAAGGUGGCUCAGUGGUAGAGUGCUUGUCUUGUAUGUAUGAGGCCCUGGGUUCGAUUCCUCAGCUCCG
rfam:Dipodomys ordii contig_21265, whole genome shotgun sequence.